AUUGAACGCUGGCGGCAUGCUUUACACAUGCAAGUCGAACGGUAACAGGCCGCAAGGUGCUGACGAGUGGCGAACGGGUGAGUAAUGCAUCGGAACGUGCCCAGUCGUGGGGGAUAACGCAGCGAAAGCUGCGCUAAUACCGCAUACGAUCUAUGGAUGAAAGCGGGGGACCGUAAGGCCUCGCGCGAUUGGAGCGGCCGAUGUCAGAUUAGGUAGUUGGUGGGGUAAAGGCUCACCAAGCCAACGAUCUGUAGCUGGUCUGAGAGGACGACCAGCCACACUGGGACUGAGACACGGCCCAGACUCCUACGGGAGGCAGCAGUGGGGAAUUUUGGACAAUGGGCGCAAGCCUGAUCCAGCAAUGCCGCGUGCAGGAAGAAGGCCUUCGGGUUGUAAACUGCUUUUGCACGGAACGAAACGGUCCUGGUUAAUACCCGGGGCUAAUGACGGUACCGUAAGAAUAAGCACCGGCUAACUACGUGCCAGCAGCCGCCGUAAAAC
rnacentral:rRNA from 1 species